rnacentral:miRNA from 1 species
ACGUCCCGGGACGACUUGAAGU